GCGAGCGCAAUGGCUCAUCCCGCCAGCGGGACCUGGUAAAGAGAGGGAGGGACGGAGGGGGGGCUCUCUCUCUCUCUCUCCCCCCACUACCUUCCACACUACAAAUAACUAAAUAAAGGAGGAGGCAGGUUUGUCUACGAUCGAGGAAGGCGGCGGGAGAGCGUGUGUGUGUGUGUAUGAUGGUGAUGGUGGGGGUGAAGUCAGAGAUAGCGAGAAAGAGAGAGAUGACUCCUCCAAACCCGCCUAGCCCAGGCAGUUUUUCGUUGCUGGAUACAGCAGUACCUCCUCUCAAAAUGAUGCUGCGGACACUACUACUCUUUUCCCUCAUCCAGGGUACUAGCCAAAAAAGUGAUGAUGAUUAUGAAGAUUAUACUACCAACAAAACCUGGGUGUUGACUCCCAAAGUACAUGAGAGUGAUGUUACCCUCAUUUUAAAUGGCCUGCUGGAGGGGUAUGACAACAAACUGAGACCAGAUAUAGGAGUGCAACCCACGGUAAUUCACACUGAUAUGUAUGUCAAUAGCAUUGGUCCAGUGAAUGCUAUCAAUAUGGAAUAUACAAUUGAUAUAUUUUUUGCCCAAACCUGGUAUGACAGACGACUAAGAUUUAACAGCACCAUUAAAGUUCUGAGGUUGAACAGCAACAUGGUGGGGAAGAUCUGGAUUCCUGAUACGUUCUUUCGAAACUCAAAAAAAGCAGAUGCACACUGGAUAACAACACCCAAUAGAAUGCUCAGGAUCUGGAAUGAUGGCAGGGUGCUAUAUACCCUCAGACUGACAAUAGAUGCAGAGUGUCAAUUACAGUUAUACAAUUUCCCAAUGGAUGAACACUCUUGUCCACUGGCAUUUUCAAGCUAUGGUUACCCAAAGGAAGAAAUCAUCUAUAUGUGGAAACGCAGUUCAGUGGAAGUGGGGGAUACUAGAUCCUGGAGGCUCUAUCAGUUCUCAUUUGUUGGACUUAGAAAUACAACUGAAGUGAUUCCAACAAGAUCAGGUGAUUAUGUGGUGAUGGCAGUCUAUUUUGAUUUAAGCCGAAGGAUGGGCUAUUUCACCAUUCAAACAUAUAUCCCCUGCACACUCAUUGUAGUCCUCUCCUGGGUUUCUUUCUGGAUUAAUAAGGAUGCUGUACCAGCCAGAACAUCUUUGGGUAUUACAACUGUCCUGACAAUGACCACUCUCAGUACUAUUGCUCGCAAAUCUCUUCCCAAAGUCUCUUAUGUGACAGCAAUGGAUCUUUUUGUGUCAGUCUGCUUCAUUUUUGUUUUUUCCGCACUGGUGGAGUAUGGGACUCUUCAUUAUUUUGUUAGUAACAGAAAGCCAAGCAAGAAUAAAGACAAAAAGAAGAAAAAUCCUCUUCUUCGGAUGUUUUCAUUCAAGGCACCAACAAUUGAUAUCCGUCCAAGGUCAGCUACGAUUCAAAUGAACAAUGCGACACACCUCCAAGAACGGGAUGAAGAGUAUGGUUAUGAGUGUCUUGACGGCAAGGACUGUGCAAGUUUUUUCUGCUGCUUUGAGGAUUGCCGAACAGGAGCUUGGCGGCAUGGAAGGAUACAUAUUCGCAUUGCCAAAAUGGACUCCUAUGCCCGCAUAUUUUUCCCCACUGCCUUCUGUUUGUUUAAUCUGGUCUACUGGGUAUCUUACCUUUACCUUUAAACAAGCAGAAAGGAAGUUGAUGACAUGAGCCUUAUUGUUGGGAUUUUAUUAGAAGAUUGGUUUCCUGUUUGAAUUCACUUCAGUGCCAUGACCUAUUGGCUUCGGUGCAUAUGAGGGAACUUAAAAUAAACACAUGGACUAUCCUGCAGGCAGGAGCCAUCCCAUUCUCUUCUGCCCCAGGGAAUGCACUGCACAUUUAUCAUUAUCCAUGCAUAGCAUUCCUUGACCUAAAGAGGGAAUGGCUCAGCCCUGGUCUGUUGAGCAUCAGAGUUUCAUGAACUUUUAAACUUUAUAACAUGCUUUGCAGUGAUCUGAAUCUUUAGUGCCAUAACUCAAUAAAUACCAACCAUCAGAUCAUUUGUUGAAGGCUACUGUAACACUGUUGUGACCUGGAUGAUAUCAUUCUACAUUUUUAAGUGCUAUGAUCCAACAAAGAGCCAGGAUCAUAUUGAAGGCCCCAUGAAUCUGAGAGGAACCAAGAGGAGAGGAACAACAUCAACUCUCAAGAAAUCCCUUCUCCCUCUUGCAUGGAAGAUGUGAACAGGCAACACUUUUCUGGUGUUAGACAAAUGUUAAACAGUUGAACAGAACACACAGUCCUCCAGGGACAGACUAAACCAGAAUGACCAAUUUUAAAUUCUGUAAUUUUGCUCCCAGUGUUAGUUUCUCAUUUUCCACAGCAAUUGGGAUGGCAGCUUGAAUACUGAUGAUUGCUAGAAUGCACGAGCUAUCCAAAAUGAACCAGGCUGUGCAUAGCCCUGGCUACAUUGGCUUUUUCAAGAUACACAAAGUAAAACAUUUGUUUUACUGGCAGCUGUUGGUAUAUUUUCAUUUGAAAUACAUCGACCUACAGUUCACCAUGCAUUAGUGUGAUGAUGUUUGUGCUUCCCUUCUUUUUGUCUUGCUUUGGGUUGCUCGGUUAUGAUAAAGGUCUCCACAGUUGGCACGUAAAGACAACCAAAAUAAAUGAACAGACCAAAAGGAGAAAAUAAUCCAUCAUAGUAUGGGGGUGCUCCAGCAACCACCUAGAUAAUUCUUGACUCAUUAAGCUAGCAACUGUGCUCAGUUAUGCAAUCUUUAACACAUGUAAAUAUUUCUGACAUGUUUGUGGUCACAAAUGGUAACUAUCAAAUAGGUUCGUAGCCAGGAAUGAGGAAUAAUCUAUAUGUAUAUUAUCAUUACAAAAUCAAUGACAGCCAAUACAGUCCUAAGGAGUUCUAAGUUUCCCAAUGUCUGUAUAGUUUUAAAAAUAAACAUGUAUAGAAAGGAAUAACUGACUCCUGAUCAUCGAUUGUUCCUUAUUUAAUGCACUUGAAAGAAGGAAAUGCACAUACCCAUGUUUUUUUCCAAUACAAUUGCUGCAUUCAAUAUCACUGUUGUCUUUGAGUGUGACUUUACAUACAGUAUGUUUAGAAAUAAAAUGAAUAAAAUGAACCAGUGUAUGCAACAACCAUAUGUGGUUAUGCGUAUACUGUGGUUAAUCUCAUUGCUAAACUUGGUUUUUAGUUUUUUAAAAGCUUUCGUUUCUGUACCCUGCUUCAAAACGUUAGUUGAUCAAAGAAUAUAUGAGCUGACUUUACUUUUUCAAAGCUCAGGUUUCUAAAAUACAAUGCAUUUUUGUAUUCUAUUAUCUGCAGACUUAUCUAUAUGUAAAGCUGUGCCCUACAAUGAGUGAAGUUCAGAAUGUCUUUGGAGAUUCUCAAUCAUCCAGGUCAUAGUUGUUUCAAAGGUGCUUUUCCAAAAGGCAACUGGAGGUUCUUGUUUCUUUUUCCUUUGAAAAUGUUUCACUUCUCAUCUAAGAAGCUUCUUCAGUUCAUAAUGUAGUGCUUAAAGUAGGUGAUUCUGUAUGUAAAAAAAAUGAAUAUUAAAAAAUACAGCAAAGGUUUAGUGGUAAUAAUGAGGAUGAAUGUGAAAGGGCUAGUAUGUAAUAGUAAUAGUAAUAGUAGUAAAGUUGGAAGGGACCUUGGAGGUCAUCUAGUCCAACCCCCUGCUCGGGC